ensembl:lncRNA
AUUUUAAGCUCUUCAUGUGAAACAACUCAUUUAUGUUUUACAACUCUGUGGAAGAAGUACAUUUACUUUCCAUUUUAUAGAUAGAAAAAGAUGUAGAGAGGCUGGUUUUUCCAAAGUCACACAGCUAGUAAGUGGCAAAGUCUAGAUUCAGACUCCAGCAGUCUUCCUCCAGAGUUGAUCCUCGUAAACAUUGUACCAUGUUGCUCCUUUGAUCCAGAUAUAACAAGUUAUCUUAUAAAUUGCACAGUUACAUAUUAGCAUGCUGCAUCAUGCCAUAUUAGUAUAUAAGCACAUUACAUGUAACAUACCAUUUCUCUUGCACAAGUAAUUCUAUCUUUGUUAAUGCUCCUUAAAAAAGAAAGUUCCUAAAAACAUUCUAUUCUUUUCGAUUUAUUCAGAUCAUCUCAAUUAUAAAAAUACACAUUGAUUUCCUUCCAGGUCACAAGCAAUGCUCUAGUCCCAGGUCUUACCCAGCUGAGUGCAGCAAAGGAGAUGGAGACGUAAACCAAUAAUUGCAAUAUCUUGUGACCAGUUCAAUAAGAGAGGUGAGAUUUAGGAACAGAGUGGCCCAGAGGAAGGACUGUUAGGUCCUGUAAGCAUUUUGCUUCUUUCAUUUCAGAGAUGUGCCAUCUUUUUAACACUAUAAUUUUAGGUAUCAAGGAAAUCAUGAUAAAACCCACCAAGUGCCUCAAUACAAUUUAGUUUUACAAACAUAAUAACUACAAUGAGGAUACAUCUUGAUGUGAUUGGUAUGUGCUUAUUUAUGCCUGAUGUCCCAGUGCAAUUAUUAAUAGCACUCCUUUCACUUUCAAAAGUAACAUGAUUUGGAUGAAAAUAACAAGGUUAGCCUAAAAAUCCAAGAAAAUAUCCUAGCCAGUAGGUGUAAAUAAUUCUGAGACACAUUAAUAAAAGGGGCACCUUCCAAUAUGAAGGCCAUGUAUAAUCUAUAGACAGAACUUUUGUCCUUAGGGUUGUAGGAUAUAUAAUUCAGAUAUAGUAGCCCCUGGUCAUCCCAGGUAAAGAACAGCAACAUUUGUGCAGAUUCAGCAAUGCAGAGGGCAUUGAUUAAAAAAAAAUAGGGAUAUUUUGUAAAGAAUGUGUUGGUCAAAAUCCAUAAGAAAGAAGUCACUUACUUUACUGACACCAGAUAAUGAUAACACUGUGGAACGAGAUACUCUAGCUUAUAGCCUGUUCAGAGGGCUCAGGACAUGAUAAUUCCAUCCAGGAUAGCCAAAGUGGAACAAGAUGGAAGAAACUUUUGCAAAAGUUGUAGAGGCCACAGUCUGUUACUCAAAGUUACAAUGGUGUAAUGCUGUUGGAAGCUGUAUUAUGAGUACACGUUCUAUUAAUCAGCCAUAAGAGGAACAAAAAUUUUUUGGAAAGAAGCUAGAUAAUAUUACUGGCAUUUAACAAUCAUGAAGUUACAAUAGCAAAAAUAAAUUAAAAUAUAAACAAAUGACCCAAGAUAUUCAGUAAGAGAUACAAACAUUUGAAGGCAGAAAUAAUGUCACUUCCUCUAGUUUUGACCCUUACAAUAACUGUCAUUUUUGGCCUCACUUCAUAUAGGUGUGCUGUGCUGAGACUGUGAAUGACAGCGGGUCAGCAUUUCCUUCACUUCUGCUUGAGGCAUAUGUGUAUUGGAACCUUAUUCAAAGAACUGCUAUCAUAAUUUAAGACCCCAAAAUAUGUUCAUGCUGAAUAAGUGGCAAGGAGCUAGCAUAGUUGCCCUAAAACCCUUUAGUUGUGCCUCUACUGACUUCAACCCAACCUUACCCCACAAGACAUAGAGGAACAAUGUUUGAAUACCAGUUUUCCUAUAUAUACUCUUUGCUCACUUAAAAAAUAUCACUUGGGAGCCAGCGCUGAUGGCCUGGUGGUUAAAGUUUGGCAUGCUCACCUCUCCAGCGGCCCAGGUUUGCUUCCCAGUCGCGAAACCCCACCACCUGUCUGUCAGUUGCCAUGCUGUGGCAGAAACUCACAUAGAACCAGAAGGACUUACAACUAGGAUAUAUAACCAUGCACUGGAAUUCUGGGGAGGAAAAAAGAGGAGGAUUGGCAACAGCUGUGAGAUCAGGGCAAAUCUUUCCCUGCAAAAAACCAAAAAACAAACAAACAAAAAUCCCACUGGGGUCAAUUUUAUGUAUCUAUAAAGCUGUUCUAUCAUAGAAGGUAUAGAGCCCUUGAUAUUUGUAAAGUUGGGCAUCAAUAUUUUUAAUUGUGAAGGCCAAGGGAAAUUUGAUUAUAGUCAAUCUGCAUCACUCAAAGCUCUUUGGUUGGAAAUAACCAAAACUCCUCAAAGUAGUUAAAGCAAAAAUACAAAAAGAAAAUAAAAAGGAAAUAAGACCACUAUUCAAGGUCUAGAAGUGAAAAUAGGCAUCACUAGGGACAGAAGCCAAGACAUGAAAAGCCAUCAGAAAUGGAAUCUCUCCUGGAUUUCAUGUUUUGCCACCUUUUUUUCCUUUUUCUGUGUCCAUUUCACUUUUCUGUUUUUGUCAGUGGAUUUUCUCUUUUGGUCUACUCUUCAAGAUACAUGGUCUCUAAAAUAGAAUUCUCC